rnacentral:rRNA from 1 species
GACGAACGCUGGCGGCGUGCCUAAUACAUGCAAGUCGAACGCACAGUUUAUACCGUAGCUUGCUACACCAUAAACUGUGAGUUGCGAACGGGUGAGUAACGCGUAGGUAACCUGCCUGGUAGCGGGGGAUAACUAUUGGAAACGAUAGCUAAUACCGCAUAAUAUUGAUUAUUGCAUGAUAAUUGAUUGAAAGAUGCUAUUGCAUCACUACCAGAUGGACCUGCGUUGUAUUAGCUAGUAGGUGAGGUAACGGCUCACCUAGGCGACGAUACAUAGCCGACCUGAGAGGGUGAUCGGCCACACUGGGACGGAGACCCGGCCCAGACUCCUACGGGAGGCAGCAGGAGGGAAUCUUCGGGAAUGGACGAAAGUCUGACCGAGCAACGCCGCGGGAGUGAAGAAGGUUGUCGGAUCGGAAAGCUCGGUUGUAAGGGAAGAACGGGUGUGAGAGUGGAAAGUUCACACUGUGACGGUAUCUUACCAGAAAGGGACGGCUAACUACGUG